CAGGGGCAUGUGAGGUCAAUGUAUCUGCUGCGAUCCAGUUACACCAGCAGGCUGACAGACCUGAGGAUCCAUUGGUGAGCAAGUAAUGCUACAUUUGAUCAAAUCUUUCGAUGCCGAAAUAGACUCUACAUCUUGGAUGGCCUGCAGGAUUCCACUGGAAUGCUCUGGCUUGAUUUGCGCUAACAGUCAAGUUGCAAACACUGACUGGAUUUACGGGAAUAGUCUAGCCCUAAAGAUUGACUGGACUUUCGGGAGUUGCAUGGGUCUUUCCAAGAGUCGAAC